AGCAAGAACACUGUGCCUGCCUUUAGCUAAAAAGAAACAGUUAUUGAGAAUUUCUCCUGAUCUACUAAGGCAUGGUAAGCAAUGCAGAUGUUCAUCUGGAUACAACCAUGAGGGCUCUGAACCAAAAUGCAAACAUGUAAAAACAAUGCGUUCUCAGAAACAUCUCAUCUAUCUACUUGAGCACUGGGUUGAAAAUGGAAAUCAGGAGCCCUGAGCACAAG